GAUGAACGCUGGCGGCGUGCCUAAUACAUGCAAGUCGAGCGAACAGACGAGGAGCUUGCUCCUCUGACGUUAGCGGCGGACGGGUGAGUAACACGUGGAUAACCUACCUAUAAGACUGGGAUAACUUCGGGAAACCGGAGCUAAUACCGGAUAAUAUAUUGAACCGCAUGGUUCAAUAGUGAAAGACGGUUUUGCUUUCACUUAUAGAUGGAUCCGCGCCGCAUUAGCUAGUUGGUAAGGUAACGGCUUACCAAGGCAACGAUGCGUAGCCGACCUGAGAGGGUGAUCGGACACACUGGAACUGAGACACGGUCCAGACUCCUAAGGGAGGCAGCAGUAGGGAAUCUUCCGCAAUGGGCGAAAGCCUGACGGAGCAAAGCCGCGUGAGUGAUGAAGGUCUUCGGAUCGUAAAACUCUGUUAUUAGGGAAGAACAAAUGUGUAAGUAACUAUGCACGUCUUGACGGUACCUAAUCAGAAAGCCACGGCUAACUACGUG
rnacentral:rRNA from 1 species